UGGCCCAGAUCGUUUACCGUGAAAAAAUUAGAGUGUUCAAAGCAGGCAGAUCCAAUUUUCUGCCACCGAAUACAUUAGCAUGGGAUAAUGGAAUAGGACCCUGUCCUCCUAUUUUCAGUUGGUUUUGGCAGCGCGAGGACUAGGGUAAUGAUUAAUAGGGAUAGUUGGGGGCAUUAAUAUUUAAUUGUCAGAGGUGAAAUUCUUGGAUUUAUGAAAGAUUAACUUCUGCGAAAGCAUCUGCCAAGGAUGUUUUCAUUAAUCAAGAACGAAAGUUAGGGGAUCGAAGACGAUCAGAUACCGUCGUAGUCUUAACCAUAAACGAUGCCGACCAGCGAUUAGGAGACGUUGAAUACAAAACACCACCAUCGGCGCGGUCGUCCUUGGCGUGUCU
rnacentral:rRNA from 1 species